rnacentral:rRNA from 1 species
UACGGGGGGAGCAAGCGUUGUUCGGAUUUACUGGGCGUAAAGAGCGCGCAGGCGGUCGUUCAAGUCGCGUGUGAAAGCCCCCGGCUCAACUGGGGAGGUCACGCGAUACUGAUCGACUCGAAGGCAGGAGAGGGAAGUGGAAUUCCCGGUGUAGUGGUGAAAUGCGUAGAUAUCGGGAGGAACACCUGCGGCGAAGGCGGGUUGCUGGGCUGAUACUGACGCUGAGGCGCGAAAGCUAGGGGAGCGAACGGG